UACGUAGGGUGCAAGCGUUGUCCGGAAUUAUUGGGCGUAAAGAGCUCGUAGGCGGUCUGUCGCGUCUGGUGUGAAAACUCAGGGCUUAACCCUGAGCUUGCAUCGGGUACGGGCAGACUAGAGUGCGGUAGGGGAGACUGGAAUUCCUGGUGUAGCGGUGAAAUGCGUAGAUAUCGGGAGGAACACCAGUGGCGAAGGCGACUACCUGGCCUGUUCUUGACGCUGAGGCGCGAAAGCUAGGGGAGCAA
rnacentral:rRNA from 1 species